AGCUUGCUCCUGGAUUCAGCGGCGGACGGGUGAGUAAUGCCUAGGAAUCUGCCUGGUAGUGGGGGAUAACGUCCGGAAACGGGCGCUAAUACCGCAUACGUCCUGAGGGAGAAAGUGGGGGAUCUUCGGACCUCACGCUAUCAGAUGAGCCUAGGUCGGAUUAGCUAGUUGGUGGGGUAAAGGCCUACCAAGGCGACGAUCCGUAACUGGUCUGAGAGGAUGAUCAGUCACACUGGAACUGAGACACGGUCCAGACUCCUACGGGAGGCAGCAGUGGGGAAUAUUGGACAAUGGGCGAAAGCCUGAUCCAGCCAUGCCGCGUGUGUGAAGAAGGUCUUCGGAUUGUAAAGCACUUUAAGUUGGGAGGAAGGGCAGUAAGUUAAUACCUUGCUGUUUUGACGUUACCAACAGAAUAAGCACCGGCUAACUUCGUGCCAGCAGCCGCGGUAAUACGAAGGGUGCAAGCGUUAAUCGGAAUUACUGGGCGUAAAGCGCGCGUAGGUGGUUCAGCAAGUUGGAUGUGAAAUCCCCGGGCUCAACCUGGGAACUGCAUCCAAAACUACUGAGCUAGAGUACGGUAGAGGGUGGUGGAAUUUCCUGUGUAGCGGUGAAAUGCGUAGAUAUAGGAAGGAACACCAGUGGCGAAAGCGACCACCUGGACUGAUACUGACACUGAGGUGCGA
rnacentral:rRNA from 1 species